GACGAACGCUGGCGGCGUGCUUAACACAUGCAAGUCGAACGGAAAGGCCCUGCUUUUGUGGGGUGCUCGAGUGGCGAACGGGUGAGUAACACGUGAGUAACCUGCCCUUGACUUUGGGAUAACUUCAGGAAACUGGGGCUAAUACCGGAUAGGAGCUCCUGCUGCAUGGUGGGGGUCGGAAAGUUUCGGCGGUUGGGGAUGGACUCGCGGCUUAUCAGCUUGUUGGUGGGGUAGUGGCAUACCAAGGCUUUGACGGGUAGCCGGCCUGAGAGGGUGACCGGCCACAUUGGGACUGAGAUACGGCCCAGACUCCUACGGGAGGCAGCAGUGGGGAAUAUUGCACAAUGGGCGGAAGCCUGAUGCAGCAACGCCGCGUGCGGGAUGACGGCCUUCGGGUUGUAAACCGCUUUCGCCUGUGACGAAGCGUGAGUGACGGUAAUGGGUAAAGAAGCACCGGCUAACUACGUG
rnacentral:rRNA from 1 species